AACGUAGGACACAAGCGUUAUCCGGAGUUACUGGGCGUAAAGGGCGUGUAGGCGGAUCGGUAAGUCUACUCUGAAAGCUCCUGGCUAAACUGGGAGAGGCGAGUGGAGACUGUCGGUCUAGAGUGAGGAAGAGGAAAGUGGAAUUCCGCGUGUAGUGGUGAAAUGCGUAGAGAUGCGGAGGAACACCAGUGGCGAAGGCGG
rnacentral:rRNA from 1 species